GACGAACGCUGGCGGCGUGCUUAACACAUGCAAGUCGAACGGAAAGGCCCUGCUUUUGUGGGGUGCUCGAGUGGCGAACGGGUGAGUAACACGUGAGUAACCUGCCCUUGACUUUGGGAUAACUUCAGGAAACUGGGGCUCAUACCGGAUAGGGGCUCCUGCUGCAUGGUGGGGGUUGGAAAGUUUCGGCGGAUGGGGAUGGACUCGCGGCUUAUCAGCUUGUUGGUGGGGUAGUGGCUUACCAAGGCUGUGACGGGUAGCCGGCCUGAGAGGGUGACCGGCCACAUUGGGACUGAGAUACGGCCCAGACUCCUACGGGAGGCAGCAGUGGGGAAUAUUGCACAAUGGGCGGAAGCCUGAUGCAGCAACGCUGCGUGCGGGAUGACGGCCUUCGGGUGGUAAACCGCUUUCGCCUGUGACGAAGCGUGAGUGACGGUAAUGGGUAAAGAAGCACCGGCUAACUACGUG
rnacentral:rRNA from 1 species